GCCUUUGUGGUGUAGUGGUCAGCACGCUCGACGCGUAUUCGAGAGGUCAGUGGUUCGAUUCCCGGCGAGGGCA
rnacentral:tRNA from 1 species